AGUGAACGCUGGCGGCGGGCCUAAUACAUGCAAGUCGAACGGAGUGGCCCACGGGCGAGUAAUGAAUAGCUAAUCUGCCCUACAAUAGAGGAAAACAGUUGGAAACGACUGCUAAUACUCGAUAGUGUAGGAUGAGGCAAUAUUGUAUCAGCUAGUUGGUGAGGUACUGGCUCACCAAGGGUAUGACGCAUAACUGGGUUGAUAGGAUGAGCAGUCAAACAGGAACUGAGACAGCGUCGAGACUCCGACGGGAGGUAGCAGUAGGGAAAAUUGGUCAAGGAGGGAAUCCGUGAAGCGGCAGAGCGGCGUGAAGGAUGAGACGUUGCGAGGAGGAAGCUCCUUUUGUUAGGGAAGCGGUACCUAACGAAUAAGCACCGGCUAACUCCGUGCCAGCAGCCGCGGUAAUUC
rnacentral:rRNA from 1 species